GAGUGAAGUCACUUAUGCAGAUAUACAGAUACCAUCAGAAGAAAGAGUGUGUUUUACUUCACGAACUUUGGAUCCAGGAGAGAGGAGCACCUAUGCUGAGGUGAAAGUGCACUGGAAAUCUGACAGCACAUCAGAGGCUAUCCCUUCAGGUCCCACCUCUCAAUGCUCAGGCUGGUUGUACAUUAUUGCAGUCCUUGGGAUUAUUACACUGAUUCUGCUAGUUACUGUGAUCCUCUUAGCUCUGCGCUGUGUAAACACGUGAUGAUAACUCAACUCAGCAAGUCUCUCUUCAAUGAAAGAUCAUCAAAUGCUGGUUGAAAGUGCUCAUAAAUUGCUCUUUCUUUUAAAUGAUUUUGAUAGAAGAUAGGCUUUCAGUUUGAUCACUGUGACACUCUGUACCUCGGAGGAACACCCUGCACCCCCAUGUUCAUCCUUAUAAUAUGAUUGUGUGGUAGCCAAUGCAACAUUUGUCAUGUUUGGUGUCUUCAGAAGUCUCAUGAUGCAUUGAGCAUUGUUGUUAUAGUAAUAUUAUAGGUUGUAAUUUCAUGUAUAUAGUUAUGAGGCUGAAAAUGUGUCCUUAUGGCUUAAAACAAGCCCAGGCAAAACUCUCCAGGAGCAGAGGGGCAGUUCACACCUCAUCAGGGCAUGUAUGGGACAAACCCAGCCCAGACUCACAGGAACAAAGGACACUGGCCUAGGCAGCAACCAAGGAUCUGUUGGACUCUUGAGUGAGUCACCCCCCUUCCCUGGGUCAGUUUGGGACUACGAUGAGGUAAUGCUCGCCUGACUCUGAAGGGGUGGGGCGCAAAGCCAAGAGGGAAGAAAGAACAUGAUGAAAAGGAGAGAUGUUUGCCAUGCUCUCUCUCUUCUACCUCCAUCUACAGAAACCACCACCAAGUGACUGAGGCACUGAUCAAAGGGGAGAGCCUUGAUGAAGGGCAACCAGCCAGCCCGUGGUGAGAAGCAUCUAAGUUUGUAAGGGCACUGAAAG